GAUGAACGCUGGGGGCGUGCCUAAUACAUGCAAGUCGAGCGAACAGAUGAGGAGCUUGCUCCUCUGACGUUAGCGGCGGACGGGUGAGUAACACGUGGAUAACCUACCUAUAAGACUGGGAUAACUUCGGGAAACCGGAGCUAAUACCGGAUAAUAUAUUGAACCGCAUGGUUCAAUAGUGAAAGACGGUUUUGCUGUCACUUAUAGAUGGAUCCGCGCCGCAUUAGCUAGUUGGUAAGGUAACGGCUUACCAAGGCAACGAUGCGUAGCCGACCUGAGAGGGUGAUCGGCCACACUGGAACUGAGACACGGUCCAGACUCCUACGGGAGGCAGCAGUAGGGAAUCUUCCGCAAUGGGCGAAAGCCUGACGGAGCAACGCCGCGUGAGUGAUGAAGGUCUUCGGAUCGUAAAACUCUGUUAUUAGGGAAGAACAAAUGUGUAAGUAACUAUGCACGUCUUGACGGUACCUAAUCAGAAAGCCACGGCUAACUACGUG
rnacentral:rRNA from 1 species